AGAGUUUGAUCCUGGCUCAGGACGAACGCUGGUGGCGUGCUUAACACAUGCAAGUCGAACGGUGAAGCUCCAGCUUGCUGGAGUGGAUCAGUGGCGAACGGGUGAGUAACACGUGAGCAACCUGCCCCCCACUUCGGGAUAAGCCUUGGAAACGAGGUCUAAUACCGGAUAUGAGCACUUGUCGCAUGGUGAGUGUUGGAAAGUUUUUCGGUGGGGGAUGGGCUCGCGGCCUAUCAGCUUGUUGGUGGGGUAAUGGCCUACCAAGGCGUCGACGGGUAGCCGGCCUGAGAGGGCGACCGGCCACACUGGGACUGAGACACGGCCCAGACUCCUACGGGAGGCAGCAGUGGGGAAUAUUGCACAAUGGGCGAAAGCCUGAUGCAGCGACGCCACGUGAGGGAUGACGGCCUUCGGGUUGUAAACCUCUUUCAGCAGGGAAGAAGCGCAAGUGACGGUACCUGCAGAAGAAGCGCCGGCUAACUACGUGCCAGCAGCCGCGGUAAUACGUAGGGCGCAAGCGUUGUCCGGAAUUAUUGGGCGUAAAGAGCUCGUAGGCGGUCUGUCGCGUCUGGUGUGAAAUCUCAUGGCUCAACUGUGAGCUUGCAUCGGGUACGGGCAGACUAGAGUGCUGUAGGGGAGACUGGAAUUCCUGGUGUAGCGGUGGAAUGCGCAGAUAUCAGGAGGAACACCGAUGGCGAAGGCAGGUCUCUGGGCAGUUACUGACGCUGAGGAGCGAAAGCAUGGGGAGCGAACAGGAUUAGAUACCCUGGUAGUCCAUGCCGUAAACGUUGGGCACUAGGUGUGGGGCCAGUUCCACUGGUUCCGUGCCGCAGCUAACGCAUUAAGUGCCCCGCCUGGGGAGUACGGCCGCAAGGCUAAAACUCAAAGGAAUUGACGGGGGCCCGCACAAGCGGCGGAGCAUGCGGAUUAAUUCGAUGCAACGCGAAGAACCUUACCAAGGCUUGACAUGUACGAGAAAGCCCCAGAGAUGGGGUUCUCUUUGGACACUCGUACACAGGUGGUGCAUGGUUGUCGUCAGCUCGUGUCGUGAGAUGUUGGGUUAAGUCCCGCAACGAGCGCAACCCUUAUCCUAUGUUGCCAGCGGGUUAUGCCGGGGACUCAUGGGAGACUGCCGGGGUCAACUCGGAGGAAGGUGGGGAUGACGUCAAAUCAUCAUGCCCCUUAUGUCUUGGGCUUCACGCAUGCUACAAUGGCCGGUACAGAGGGCUGCGAUACCGUGAGGUGGAGCGAAUCCCAAAAAGCCGGUCUCAGUUCGGAUCGGGGUCUGCAACUCGACCCCGUGAAGUCGGAGUCGCUAGUAAUCGCAGAUCAGCAACGCUGCGGUGAAUACGUUCCCGGGCCUUGUACACACCGCCCGUCAAGUCACGAAAGUUGGUAACACCCGAAGCUCACGGCCCAACCCUUUGGGAGGGAGUGGUCGAAGGUGGGACUGGCGAUUGGGACUAAGUCGUAACAAGGUAGCC
rnacentral:rRNA from 1 species